GAAAUGCGAUAAGUAAUGUGAAUUGCAGAAUUCAGUGAAUCAUCGAAUCUUUGAACGCACAUUGCGCCCGCUGGUAUUCCGGCGGGCAUGCCUGUUCGAGCGUCAUUUCAACCCUCAAGCUCUCCGGAGUUUGGUGUUGGGGCGCCUGGGGCUUUUCGACCUCAGGGCCCUCAAGUCCAUCGGCGGGACCGCCAGGACACUGAGCGCAGUAGUAUUAUUUCGCUCGGUAGGAUCUUCCACGGCGGGUCGAUCUGGCCGCUAAACCCCCCAAUUCUCACCAAAGGUUGACCUCGGAUCAGGUAGGAAUACCCGCUGAACUUAAGC
rnacentral:misc_RNA from 1 species